rnacentral:rRNA from 1 species
AUUGAACGCUGGCGGCAGGCCUAACACAUGCAAGUCGAACGGUAACAGGAAGAAGCUUGCUUCUUUGCUGACGAGUGGCGGACGGGUGAGUAAUGUCUGGGAAACUGCCUGAUGGAGGGGGAUAACUACUGGAAACGGUAGCUAAUACCGCAUAACGUCGCAAGACCAAAGAGGGGGACCUUCGGGCCUCUUGCCAUCGGAUGUGCCCAGAUGGGAUUAGCUAGUAGGUGGGGUAACGGCUCACCUAGGCGACGAUCCCUAGCUGGUCUGAGAGGAUGACCAGCCACACUGGAACUGAGACACGGUCCAGACUCCUACGGGAGGCAGCAGUGGGGAAUAUUGCACAAUGGGCACAAGCCUGAUGCAGCCAUGCCGCGUGUAUGAAGAAGGCCUUCGGGUUGUAAAGUACUUUCAGCGGGGAGGAAGGGAGUAAAGUUAAUACCUUUGCUAAUUGACGUUACCCGCAGAAGAAGCACCGGCUAACUCCGUG